UACGAAGGGGGCUAGCGUUGCUCGGAAUCACUGGGCGUAAAGCGCACGUAGGCGGCUUCUUAAGUCAGGGGGUGAAAUCCUGGAGCUCAACUCCAGAACUGCCUUUGAUACUGAGGAGCUUGAGUCCGGGAGAGGUGAGUGGAACUGCGAGUGUAGAGGUGAAAUUCGUAGAUAUUCGCAAGAACACCAGUGGCGAAGGCGGCUCACUGGCCCGGUACUGACGCUGAGACACGAAAGCGUGGGUAGCAAACAGG
rnacentral:rRNA from 1 species